CGCAAUAUAUCGUAAUCGAAGUAUGAUCAGUAGUGGUUUGCACUGUGCAUAUCGAACGAAAUAUGAAAGGAUCGAUUUUGGCUAUUUUAUUAACUGCGAACAUACUUCUGAUAGCGGGAUGUCCUGACGAACCCGAAGAUGCGAAGGCUGCAUACAAACUGAACGAUAGCGAAGACUAUCUCACAACUCCUACACCCAAUGAACUAUUAAGAAACCGCCAAAAACAGUUUAAUAAUAUAACCGUCGUGCUCCCGUCAUCACGACUCAUCCAACUCCUCAAGAAUAUAACAAUUGUACUGAGGCCAGUUACGGAAUCCCUUGCUUCCUAGUUCCAUUGGGAUAAAAUCUCCACGCGGCCCAUUCGUGAAAAACCCAUGUACCACAUCGACAUAACUACUAACAUGAGAGUGUUUGAUAUUAAUUAAUUUAUCUUUAUUUUAAUAGUCUAAGUUUUUAAGUA